CUUGAGAGCGGCGUACGGGUGCGGAACACGUGUGCAACCUGCCUUUAUCAGGGGGAUAGCCUUUCGAAAGGAAGAUUAAUACCCCAUAAUAUUUAGAAUGGCAUCAUUUUAAAUUGAAAACUCCGGUGGAUAGAGAUGGGCACGCGCAAGAUUAGAUAGUUGGUGAGGUAACGGCUCACCAAGUCUGCGAUCUUUAGGGGGCCUGAGAGGGUGAUCCCCCACACUGGUACUGAGACACGGACCAGACUCCUACGGGAGGCAGCAGUGAGGAAUAUUGGACAAUGGGUGCGAGCCUGAUCCAGCCAUCCCGCGUGAAGGACGACGGCCCUAUGGGUUGUAAACUUCUUUUGUAUAGGGAUAAACCUAGAUACGUGUAUCUAGCUGAAGGUACUAUACGAAUAAGCACCGGCUAACUCCGUGCCAGCAGCCGCGGUAAUACGGAGGGUGCAAGCGUUAUCCGGAUUUAUUGGGUUUAAAGGGUCCGUAGGCGGAUCUGUAAGUCAGUGGUGAAAUCUCACAGCUUAACUGUGAAACUGCCAUUGAUACUGCAGGUCUUGAGUGUUGUUGAAGUAGCUGGAAUAAGUAGUGUAGCGGUGAAAUGCAUAGAUAUUACUUAGAACACCAAUUGCGAAGGCAGGUUACUAAGCAACAACUGACGCUGAUGGACGAAAGCGUGGGGAGCGAACAGGAUUAGAUACCCUGGUAGUCCACGCCGUAAACGAUGCUAACUCGUUUUUGGUUUUUCGGAAUCAGAGACUAAGCGAAAGUGAUAAGUUAGCCACCUGGGGAGUACGUUCGCAAGAAUGAAACUCAAAGGAAUUGACGGGGGCCCGCACAAGCGGUGGAUUAUGUGGUUUAAUUCGAUGAUACGCGAGGAACCUUACCAAGGCUUAAAUGGGA
rnacentral:rRNA from 1 species